UUUUUCAUAGGGCUGAUGUUGAGGCCCACUUAUUUUGGUUUUGUCCAAAUCAAGCCAGGUUCAAAGUUCAGAUUGAGUAAUGCAUGGAUACGAAGUCCAAGUUUAUAAGUUUGAGUCUAGGCUGUUGAGGUCUUAAAGCCUAUAUGUUCUUGAAAUUUCAGAUUAGGGUUUUUUCCGAAAGGUAGAUUCUCUUCAUUUCUUCUUCACAGUUUUCCUCUGUUUCUUUCUUUUUAUUUUUUUAAAAAAAGAGGGCAUGCACGUAUAAUAAAGCCAAGGGGGAGGGCUUCGAUGAACGUAGUUUCACUGGGCCUUCGGUCCUUAACCAUAAACUCUUAGAUCUAUCCAAAAAUUUAAAAAAAUGGAAAAUCACUAGCUUUACAAAAAUAAGGGGUUUCAGUAGAGAGGAAGAUGAGGAAGAAAGAAAAUGAAGAAAAAAAAGGAAGAGACUUUGUUUCCGAAAAUGAAAGAAAGAAAAAAAGAGUACUUUCUUAAAUUAGUUUCCGAUCGCCACUUCCGGUGCUCGGUCGUCAAAAAUCGGAGAACUUUGGGUUCUCCGGCGGUGGAACUGGCUGAAAGAAAAGAGGAAAAC
rnacentral:lncRNA from 1 species